rnacentral:lncRNA from 1 species
UGUAGUGUUUCUACCUAAUGUUAGAUAAUAGCUGGUGUCCACAUACUUUUGGUCAUGUAGUGUAUAAAUCUCAUGAUUCAAUGAUUAUUUAAUUAUCACUAUCUUUAUUUAAUUUUUACACCAGAUGGACUACAAGGACAGCUGAGUAAGUAGUCUGUCUCUGUGUGUGUGUGUGUGUGUGUGUGUGUGUGUGUGUGUGUGUGUGUGUGUGUGUGUGUGUGUGUGUGUGUGUGUGUGUUCACAUGCGUCUGUCUGCAUUGUCAUGUUUUUAAGGUUUGCUCACCAACAUGUGUGUUCUGACUAUCUGUUCUUGUCCUCAGGGGAAGCUAAAGAGACCAUCCAAUCCCUCUCCAGAUGGUCAACAGAAAACACAGACUCCUUCCCAAAAGUCUGAGGGGAUUGAAGGGAUGGAGAUGGAGUCUUUACCAGGGAGGAAGUCUGGUCCUGGUCCAGGGAGGAAGUCUGCUCCUGAGAUGAAGCCUUUACUGGCUGCUGGACCACAGAAGGAUGAUCUGGAUGAGCUGGAGAGGGGAGCAAGAGUUACUACAGAAUUGAACUAUGUGCUAUAGGGUUACUAUAGAGAGACUAUAACUUGAUAAUAGAGACCUAUCCCUCCUAACUAAGCUGAGUUUCUGAGUAUAUAACUGAGUGAUAUGAAUCUUGUUGAGACAGAGUCCUCUGAUCAACGUGUUGGUCACUACUCUAUAAUCCACUUCCAGUAGUUAGUUCUUUACUUUUUGAAGUUUUACUACCCAUGUUUGUAUUAUGGGUUUAUAUCCAUUUCCUGGUUAUUCUAUAUAUGUGUUCCCCAUAAACAAUGUCUUUCUAAUCCCCCUCAGGAAUUGAUAGUGUUGAAUUGAAUGGAAUGAUGGACUAAGGUCUCCUGUUAGAAUCUGUUACAGACCCUCUUAUGUCCAGUACCUGAUAAUCACAGGUAUAUCAACAGGACCACAGGAGGCUGGUGGCACCUUAAUUAGGGAGGAGGGGCUCGUGGUAAUGGCUGAAGUGGAAUCAGUGGAAUGGUAUCAAAUACAUCAAACAUGUGGUUUCCAUGGUUUCCAUGUUUGAUGCCGUUCCAUUGGCUCCGUUCCAGACGUUAUAAUGAGGCUCCUCCCCUCAGCAGCCUCCUGUGAACAAGACUGAUAAAACCAUUUGUUGAAAUGUUUAUAUUUCUGUUUUAGCUUCAACCUGUCAGCUUCUAUUGUAGCUUCAACCUGUCAGCUUCUAUUGUAGCUUCAACCUGUCAGCUUCUAUUGUAGCUUCAUUUUGUUAUUGAAGUGUUUCGAUUUUAGCUUCAACAUGUCAAUGUGCCUGUUUAUAUUUCACUUUUUAAGUGUAUUUUAAAAUAGUGACCUAUUGUGUGCUCAAAAUAAAUUAUAGUAUAUUAUUAUAAACUAAUUAUAUUAUUUUAAACUAAUACAAUUGCUCAGAGAAUUAUUAUUUUUUGUAAUGUAUUUUUUUGUAAAGAUAGGGGUCAAAAUGACAGCCAAAAAUCUCCAGGAGUUUGAUGAUGUCAUUACUAUGAAUAUAGAACCAAAUACUGACCUUCUGACUACUUUAAUUACUAGAAUCAAUAUGGGGUCAAUAAUUUAGACCUUUAGAAUCUAUAGGGGGUCAAUAAUUUAGACCUUUAGAAUCUAUAGGGGGGUCAAUAAUUUAUACCUUUAGAAUCUAUAGGGGGGUCAAUAAUUUAGACCUUUAGAAUCUAUAGGGGGGUCAAUAAAUUAGACCUUUAGAAUCUAUAGGGGGGUCAAUAAUUUAGACCUUUAGAAUCUAUAGGGGGUCAAUAAUUUAUACCUUUAGAAUCUAUAGGGGGGUCAAUAAUUUAGACCUUUAGAAUCUAUAGGGGGGUCAAUAAAUUAGACCUUUAGAAUCUAUAGGGGGGUCAAUAAUUUAUACCUUUAGAAUCUAUAGGGGGGUCAAUAAUUUAGACCUUUAGAAUCUAUAGGGGGGUCAAUAAUUUAUACCUUUAGAAUCUAUAUGGGGUCAAUAAUUUAGACCUUUAGAAUCUAUAGGGGGUCAAUAUUUUAGACCUUUAGAAUCUAUAGGGGGGUCAAUAAUUAAUUUAUAUUAUUAAUAAUUUAGAAAAUAAAUAUUACUUGUUAAACAAAAUAUUUUAAUCAGAUCAAUCGUAUUAAUAUAAAAUAAUAUAAUUGACACAUGUUGUUGAGCAGAUGAUAGAGCUCAGUAUUUAAAUUAUUUAUUUAUACAGUCAUUAUCUUUAUCAGGGGUGUCAAUAAUUCCAUACCAACUGUAUAUUAUAUAUUGAUGUAUUUUAUACAGUCAUUAUCUUUAUCAAGGGUGUCAAUAAUUCCAUACCCACUGUAUAUUAUAUAUUGAUGUAUUUUAUACAGUCAUUAUUAUCUUUAUCAAGGGUGUCAAUAAUUCCAGACCCACUGUAUAUUAUAUAUUGAUGCAUUUUAUACAGUCAUUAUUAUCUUUAUCAAGGGUGUCAAUAAUUCCAGACCCACUGUAUAUUAUAUAUUGAUCAUGUAUAUGCAGUUGAAUGGUAUUUUCCAUGUAUUGAUGAUUUCUUGAUUUUAAUAAACUAGGACAUCGUUGUGUGAGAACGUGACUCCAGUGUAAUAUUUUAACAUUAUUGAAUGUCAGUAGGUAGUGUUACCUUAC